UUACAAAUCCAUUUUUCCUUUCCCUUACCUUACGUACUACCUUUGUAUGCCUACUGCGCGAUAGCUGGAAAUAAUAUAAAAAACAUAUAUGUAUUUUUAUUAUAUUUUGCGUUAUAGGCAUUAUAGGCAAUAUAAUAAGCACAAUGGUAUCGAUUAAUUUUUUAAACACGUGUCGCGGUUCAGUCAUUGUCUUCAAUUUGCUAUAAAAAUAUAAAAUAUUACGAAUAUACAUACAUACAUUUACAUGACAUACAUAUAUACAUACAUACGUUACAUCGGAUUGCUAUAUAAUACUCAGCAAUUACGUUACAUCGUUGGCAGUGCUAAGGUUUUCUUCCUUAAUUUGUUGAACUUCGCAAUGACAUUGAAUAAUUAACGCCAUUCAAUAUUACUUGAUUGGUAUUUUGAGCAAAUUUGUUUAAUUGGUAAUUGAGAGAGAAUUGUUUAAGUGCGUGACCACCACGAAGAGUGUGAUGUAUAUUAUAAUAUUCGAACGUUUGCUUGAUCGUGUCAUGUUUCAUACACCUUUUGUAAAAUUUUGCUCAGCGAUACAUUUUUUGAAUCGGUGGAAAUUUGAAAAAAGGAUAAGGUCUCUCUGGCAUGUAAAAAAAUUCCAUUUAGCAGCUUAAAAGCAGUAAGAAUAUUUAAAUAACACUCAAAAGUUAUAAUUUUUAAGGUUAUGUAAUAAAAUCCGUUAAGUACACAAAACUGAUAAGUUAUUAUUUUGUUUUUACAAUUUUUGAGGUUAUGUAAUAAAAACGGAUAUAUGUA